ensembl:rRNA 5S_rRNA 5S ribosomal RNA
GUCUACAGCCAUGCCACCCUGAAUGCACCAGAUCUCGGAAGUUAAGCAGGGUUGGACCUGGUUAGUAUUUGGAUGGGAGAAUUACCCCCUGUUCUCUGGGAUUCUAGUUGCAAGCAUGCAUGCUAUAGUCG